rnacentral:rRNA from 1 species
UACGUAGGGUGCAAGCGUUGUCCGGAAUUAUUGGGCGUAAAGAGCUCGUAGGCGGUUUGUCGCGUCUGCUGUGAAAUCCCAGGGCUUAACCCUGGGCCUGCAGUGGGUACGGACAAACUAGAGUGCGGUAGGGGAGAUCGGAAUUCCUGGUGUAGCGGUGAAAUGCGCAGAUAUCAGGAGGAACACCGGUGGCGAAGGCGGGUCUCUGGGCCGAUACUGACGCUGAGGAGCGAAAGCGUGGGGAGCGAACAGG